rnacentral:misc_RNA from 1 species
GAAAUGCGAUAAGUAAUGUGAAUUGCAGAAUUCAGUGAAUCAUCGAAUCUUUGAACGCACCUUGCGCUCCUUGGUAUUCCUUGGAGCAUGCCUGUUUGAGUAUCAUGAAAUCUUCAAAGUAAAUCUUUUGUUAACUCAAUUGGUUUCUACUUUGGUAUUGGAGGUCUUUGCAGCUUCACACCUUCUCCUCUUUGUUCAUUAGCUGGAUCUCAGUGUUAUGCUUGGUUCCACUCGGCGUGAUAAGUUAUCUAUCGCUGAGGACACUGUAAAAGGUGGCCAAGGUAAAUGCAGAUGAACCGCUUCUAAUAGUCCAUUGACUUGGACAAUACUUUUAUGAUCUGAUCUCAAAUCAGGUAUGACUACCCGCUGAACUUAAGC